GAGGGGUAGGAAGGAGCUUGCUCCUUUGAGACCGGCGCACGGGUGCGUAACGCGUAUGCAAUCUACCUUGUACAGGGGAAUAGCCCAGAGAAAUUUGGAUUAAUGCCCCAUAGUAUAUAACCUUCGCAUGUUGGUUAUAUUAAAGUUCCAACGGUACAAGAUGAGCAUGCGUCCCAUUAGUUAGUUGGUAAGGUAACGGCUUACCAAGACGAUGAUGGGUAGGGGUCCUGAGAGGGAGAUCCCCCACACUGGUACUGAGACACGGACCAGACUCCUACGGGAGGCAGCAGUGAGGAAUAUUGGUCAAUGGUCGCAAGACUGAACCAGCCAUGCCGCGUGCAGGAAGACGGUCCUAUGGAUUGUAAACUGCUUUUAUACAGGAAGAAACCCUCCCACGUGUGGGAGCUUGACGGUACUGUAGGAAUAAGGAUCGGCUAACUCCGUGCCAGCAGCCGCGGUAAUACGGAGGAUCCAAGCGUUAUCCGGAAUCAUUGGGUUUAAAGGGUCCGUAGGCGGUCUUAUAAGUCAGUGGUGAAAGCCCAUCGCUCAACGAUGGAACUGCCAUUGAUACUGUAAGACUUGAAUGCUUAGGAAGUAACUAGAAUAUGUAGUGUAGCGGUGAAAUGCUUAGAUAUUACAUGGAAUACCAAUUGCGAAGGCAGGUUACUACUAAGUGAUUGACGCUGAUGGACGAAAGCGUGGGGAGCGAACAGGAUUAGAUACCCUGGUAGUCCACGCCGUAAACGAUGGAUACUAGCUGUUCGGCGCAAGUUGAGUGGCUAAGCGAAAGUGAUAAGUAUCCCACCUGGGGAGUACCCACGCAAGUGUGAAACUCAAAUGAAUUGACGG
rnacentral:rRNA from 1 species